UACGUAGGGCGCGAGCGUUGUCCGGAGUUACUGGGCGCAAAGGGCUCGUAGGCGGUUUGUCACGUCGGUCGUGGAAACCCGCAGCUCAACUGCGGGCGGGCGAUCGAUACGGGCUGACUAGAGGACGGUAGAGGCAAGCGGAAUUCCCGGUGUAGCGGUGAAAUGCGCAGAUAUCGGGAGGAACACCGACGGCGAAGGCAACUUGCUGGGCCGUUCCUGACGCUGAGGAGCGAAAGCGUGGGGAGCGAACA
rnacentral:rRNA from 1 species